rnacentral:rRNA from 1 species
UACGUAGGGUGCAAGCGUUGUCCGGAAUUAUUGGGCGUAAAGAGCUCGUAGGCGGUCUGUUGCGUCGGCUGUGAAAACCCGGGGCUCAACUCCGGGCCUGCAGCCGAUACGGGCAGACUAGAGUUCGGCAGGGGAGACUGGAAUUCCUGGUGUAGCGGUGAAAUGCGCAGAUAUCAGGAGGAACACCGGUGGCGAAGGCGGGUCUCUGGGCCGAAACUGACGCUGAGGAGCGAAAGCGUGGGGAGCGAACAGG